rnacentral:rRNA from 1 species
UCCGGUUGAUCCCGCCGGACGGUACCGCUAUUGGAGUUCGAUUAAGCCAUGCGAGUCGCGAGAAAUUAGAUUCUCGGCGUACCGCUCAGUAACACGUGGGUAACCUGCCCUAUGCUGGAUAAUAACCUCGGGAAACUGAGAAUAAUGAUCCAUAGUUCACUACGCCUGGAACGGUGAGUGGAUGAAAGCUCCGGCGGCAUAGGAUGGGCCUGCGGCGUAUCAGGUUGUAGGGGGUGUAACGUACCCUCUAGCCCUCUACGCGUACGGGUGUUGGGAGACAUAGCCCGGAGAUGGAUUCUGAGACACGAAUCCAGACCCUACGGGGUGCAGCAGGCGCGAAAACUUGGCAAUGCGAGAAAUCGUGACCAGGGAACUCCAAGUGCAUCGGGUAAGAGCCGCGUGCUUUUCUUGACUCUAAAUAGGUCUUGGAAUAAGGGGUGGGUAAGGACGGUGCCAGCCGCCGCGGUAAUACCGGCGCCUCAAGUGGUAGUCGCUUUUAUUGGGCCUAAAACGUCCGUAGCCGGUCUGAUACAUUCGUGGGUAAAUCAACCAGCUCAACUGGUUGAAUUCUGCGAGGACGGUCAGACUUGGGACCGGGAGAGGUGUGGGGUACGCUCAGGGUAGGGGUAAAAUCCUGUCAUCCUGAGCGGACCACCUGUUGCGAAGGCGCCACACUAGAACGGAUCCGACGGUCAGGGACGAAGCCUAGGGGCACGAACCGGAUUAGAUACCCGGGUAGUCCUAGGUGUAAACGCUGUGGACUUGAUGUUGGGGGUGCUCCGAGCACUCUCAGUGUCGAAGCGAAGGUGAUAAGUCCACUGCCUGGGAAGUACGGUCGCAAGGCUGAAACUUAAAGGAAUUGGCGGGGGAGCACCGCAACCUGAGGAUUGUGCGGUUUAAUUGGACUCAACGCGG